rnacentral:rRNA from 1 species
UACGAAGGGGGCUAGCGUUGUUCGGAAUUACUGGGCGUAAAGCGCACGUAGGCGGAUUGUUAAGUUAGGGGUGAAAUCCCAGGGCUCAACCCUGGAACUGCCUUUAAUACUGGCAAUCUCGAGUCCGAGAGAGGUGAGUGGAAUUCCGAGUGUAGAGGUGAAAUUCGUAGAUAUUCGGAGGAACACCAGUGGCGAAGGCGGCUCACUGGCUCGGUACUGACGCUGAGGAGCGAAAGCGUGGGGAGCGAACAGG